GCGGAUGAACAGUGAGAUAUGCUG
rnacentral:siRNA from 1 species